rnacentral:rRNA from 1 species
AUUGAACGCUAGCGGGAUGCUUAACACAUGCAAGUCGAACGAGUGGCGGACGGGUGAGUAAUAUAUCGGCACGUGCCCAGUGGCGGGGGAUAACUAAUCGAAACAGUGGCUAAUACCGCCUACUAGUGGAGCGGCCGGUAUCGGAUUAGCUAGUAGGUGGGGUAAAGGCUUACCUAGGCGACGAUCUCUAGCUGGUCUGAGAGGAUGAUCAGCCACACUGGAACUGAGACACGGUCCAGACUCCUACGGGAGGCAGCAGUGGGGAAUAUUGCACAAUGGGCGAAAGCCUGAUCCAGCCAUGCCGCGUGUAUGAAGAAGGCCUUCGGUUUGUAAAGCACUUUCAGCGGGGAGGCGUUACCCGCAGAAGAAGCACCGGCUAACUCCGUGCCAGCAGCCGCGGUAAUUC